rnacentral:rRNA from 1 species
GACGAACGCUGGCGGCGUGCUUGACACAUGCAAGUCGAACGGAAAGGCCCUGCUUUUGUGGGGUGCUCGAGUGGCGAACGGGUGAGUAACACGUGAGUAACCUGCCCUUGACUUUGGGAUAACUUCAGGAAACUGGGGCUAAUACCGGAUAGGAGCUCCUGCUGCAUGGUGGGGGUUGGAAAGUUUCGGCGGUUGGGGAUGGACUCGCGGCUUAUCAGCUUGUUGGCGGGGUAGUGGCUUACCAAGGCUUUGACGGGUAGCCGGCCUGAGAGGGUGACCGGCCACAUUGGGACUGAGAUACGGCCCAGACUCCUACGGGAGGCAGCAGUGGGGAAUAUUGCACAAUGGGCGGAAGCCUGAUGCAGCAACGCCGCGUGCGGGAUGACGGCCUUCGGGUUGUAAACCGCUUUCGCCUGUGACGAAGCGUGAGUGACGGUAAUGGGUAAAGAAGCACCGGCUAACUACGUG